AAUCUACCUUAUACAGGGGAAUAGCCCCUUUAAAUUUGGAUUAAUGCCCCAUAGUGUUAUUGAAUCGCAUGGUUUAAUAACUAAAGUUCCAACGGUAUAAGAUCAGCAUGCGUCCCAUUAUUUAGUUGGUAAGGUAACGGGUUAGGGAGACAAUGAUGGGUAGGGGUCCUGAGAGGGAGAUCCCCCACACUGGUACUGAGACACGGACCAGACUCCUACGGGAGGCAGCAGUGAGGAAUAUUGGUCAAUGGGCGCAAGCCUGAACCAGCCAUGCCGCGUGCAGGAAGACGGUCCUAUGGAUUGUAAACUGCUUUUAUACAGGAAGAAAUUUUCUCUACGUGUAGAGUCUUGACGGUACUGGAGGAAUAAGGAUCGGCUAACUCCGUGCCAGCAGCCGCGGUAAUACGGAGGAUCCAAGCGUUUAUCCGGAAUCAUUGGGUUUAAAGGGUCCGU
rnacentral:rRNA from 1 species